rnacentral:lncRNA from 1 species
UUUACUAAUAGGAUUGCAUGAUCAAAGUCAUGAUCAAAUGACUGACUGUUCACAGUGACCUAGAGGAGAGCAGAGCAUGGAGUCGGCUUGCUAUAGUAGAAAGCUCACUGUGUUUGGAGUUGGAACCAUGAUUUUUUUCCAUCUGUGAUGAUAAUUGGUAUGGUGGCUUUGGCUAAGCCACUUGAUAUCUUUGGCUUGCAUUUCCGUAUGGAGCUUGAGCCUUUCCAAUUGUCUUGUUUCCCAGCCCAGAGAAGCUAAGCAGCAGCAAACUGGAAGAGGGCAGAGGAGGUUGCAAGUCGGAAUCGCUCUGAUGGAAGAGAGAAAUGACAGCUGACAGCCUGACAGCUAGGGAGGUGACAGCAAAGCUUUCACCAGAAAUGAGGGGCUGCUGCCACUAGCUUGGAAUUGUCGGAUUUGUCUGCAAGGCCAGGACAGACUCAGUGGGGACUGCCUGCAGAUGCAACACAUGGAAAGGGACAGUAGAGGGUAUGGCUUAAACUGGGAGAAUGUUAAUCUCUAAAAGUUGUUUAUGAAUUCGCCAUGUUAAAGUGCUCUGCCUGGGGAAGAAGCCAGGAUAGGGAAACUGAGUAAAUGUUGUUCGACUUAAACUGGAUGCUGGAAGACCAAAAGAUAUGCUUUCCAAGUUCUGCAGACCAUACAAGAAACAUAGUGUCAGCAUCUGCAGCUGGUGAGGGCUUCAGGAAAACUACAAUCAUGGCGGAAGAAAAACUGGGAGCUGGAAUAUUACAAGUGUGACACUCUGAGAUGUGGAUGUCUAUGUUCCUGCCUCUCUAAUCUGGGUGGGCUUAUGAUUGUGGCUACUGUGACUUUAUGUGACUUCAGGGACUGGAUCAUAAAAGGUGAUGCGGCUUCUCCAUAGAUCACUGGAGUACUUGAUCUGAAUUCCUAAGCUGCCAGGUA